AUACCAUCUUCAAAACGACAUGCUUAAUUAUUUCUUUUCACAUGUCUGUUUAGGUUCAUUAUGCAGUUAAAACUUCAGCAUGUAUAUCUCUUCCCCUAUACUCCUAUUUUUUAAUACUAUGCUUGUAUGAUUGCUUUCAUGUACUUCCCUCUCCCUAAAUCCCUUUAGUCUACUUCUAUUUGAAUUUUUUCUGUUCUUAUGCAAAUGCUUUCAUAUUUGAUCCAUUUCCCUGAACCCCUUUUGUAUGUGAGUAUUGUUUUGGACUAGAGUGGUACUCUAUUGCCACCUUUGGUUCAGAACUAGGUUGUUCCCAACCUCUACUCAAAUCAGAC
rnacentral:lncRNA from 1 species